GACGGAGGAUGCAAGUGUUAUCCGGAAUCACUGGGCGUAAAGCGUCUGUAGGUGGUUUAAAAAGUCUACUGUUAAAGCUUGAAGCUUAACUUCAAAAAUGCCGUAGAAACUUUUAAACUUGAGUAUGGUAGGGGUAGAGGGAAUUUCCAGUGGAGCGGUGAAAUGCGUAGAUAUUGGGAGGAACACCAGUGGCGAAGGCGGCUCACUGGACUGGUACUGACGCUGAGACGCGAAAGCGUGGG
rnacentral:rRNA from 1 species